AAGUCGUGGUGGCCUUGAAAUUUCUGUUCAAAGAUAUAGCAAGCAUACUGAAAAUCGAUGUCAAUAUCAGACUGUAACAACAAACAGAAUAUAUCGAUGGAUAGAUAGAUCGAUGGAGCUUGCCUGUACAUGUUUGCCUUGCUUGUUGAUUCACCAGCAAGAUAGAUCACUCACAGUGUGCACCACUGUGCCGCUGUUCCUCUCUUUUCCUGAUUGACAUAGACAUGUACCUAUAGCUCCAGAAAAGUACAAACCAAUGGAGAGACCUUAAAGAGCUUACCAUGACUCGUCACAAGCGCAUCGAAUCAAAGCGAGCGACGAGAGAAAAGAAAGUUUGGCCCACAACCUGAAGAAAGAGAAGGCGAUUGAAUCAGCGGCGAGUCAUCCAGCAUAAAAACAAGAGGCGUUCCAGCUACAACAGGACAGAUUAUUAGCAGCUCCUCUCUCUCUCUCUCUCUCUCUCUCUCUCUCUCUUUCUCUAGAGUUAUACACAAAAAUCCAGGCCAUGCGAUCCAAAGCACUCUAGAUCGUGCGAUGGAGCUCAAGAACGCAACAGAAUCCAGGAAUUACUCGAGAAUGCGAGCUAGACGAUCAAUCCCGACCCCAUAGCUUACCGAUUGGCGCAUUCCACCGGCGCCUGGCGGCGAGGCGCCAUCGCCACUUUUAAACCUAACGAAGACACGUGGAAUGUAGGGGUUUAUAAGUGUUCU
rnacentral:lncRNA from 1 species